GACGAACGCUGGCGGCGUGCUUAACACAUGCAAGUCGAACGGAAAGGCCCUGCUUUUGUGGGGUGCUCGAGUGGCGAACGGGUGAGUAACACGUGAGUAACCUGCCCUUGACUUUGGGAUAACUUCAGGAAACUGGGGCUAAUACCGGAUAGGAGCUCCUGCUGCAUGGUGGGGGUUGGAAAGUUUCGGCGGUUGGGGAUGGACUCGCGGCUUAUCAGCUUGUUGGUGGGGUAGUGGCUUACCAAGGCUUUGACGGGUAGCCGGCCUGAGAGGGUGACCGGCGACAUUGGGACUGAGGUACGGACCAGAAUCCUACGGGAGGCAGCAGUGGGGAAUAUUGCACAAUGGGCGGAAGCCUGAUGCAGCAACGCCGCGUGCGGGAUGACGGCCUUCGGGUUGUAAACCGCUUUCGCCUGUGACGAAGCGUGAGUGACGGUAAUGGGUAAAGAAGCACCGGCUAACUACGUG
rnacentral:rRNA from 1 species